rnacentral:rRNA from 1 species
UACGGGGGGGGCAAGCGUUGUUCGGAAUUACUGGGCGUAAAGGGCGCGUAGGCGGUUUGCUAAGUUGGAUGUGAAAACUCUGGGCUUAACCCAGAGCCUGCAUCCAAAACUGGCAAACUUGAGUACUGGAGGGGAAAGCGGAAUUCCUGGUGUAGCGGUGAAAUGCGUAGAUAUCGGGAGGAAUACCGAUGGCGAAGGCAGGUCUCUGGGCUGACACUGACGCUCAUGCACGAAAGCGUGGGGAGCAAACAGG